CUUACUGCCUGCCUUUUAGGUAUAGUGGGUUUUUAUUUUGGUUUUUUUGAAACAAAGUCUCUACAUAGUUCAGGCUGGCCUUGCGCUCACUACUGUAGCCCAGGUGAGCCUUGAACUUGGGACCCUUCUGGCCUGGCCUCCUAAGUUUAGGGAUUACAGGUGUGCAGCACCAUGGGUGCCCGCCUUUAGAAUUGUGGUGUCUUCUGCGCUUAUUCAGCCCUAGGGUGUCCAGCUGGUGCUGGGCCCUGCUACUGGCUCAGCUGUGCCUGCUGUUCUGGGGGCUCCCAAGCCGGCGGGGGCUGCGCCAGGCGGGGGCCUGCACCAGGCGGGGCCUGCUUGGGCUCUUGCCUUCAGAGCAGUGUUUGGAGAACUGUGCUCAGCCACUGUGCAUUAGAAGUGCUUCUGCGUUACCACAGAGAAGUGCAAAUGCUGCUUAAAAAUACCACAGCACAUCAGUGUGCGGAGUGGACCCUGGCUGGGGGCACUGUGCAGUGAGAUGGGAGGAGGCCGGGUCUGCUCGCCGGUGGGGAGCUGGGCCGGGCGCGGGGAGGGGUCUGGCACAGGUUGUCCUGCUGUGGGAAGCAGGCCUGUCCUUCCCGGGUUCCUGAGUUUGUGACAGAUAGCAUUUUCACCUUUUUUAUAGGAUGACGACAGAUACGAGCAGGCAAGUGAUGUUCGGGCUCAGCUGAAAUUUUUUGAACAACUCGAUCAGAUUGAAAAGCAGAGGAAAGAUGAACAGGAGAGGGAAAUCUUGAUGCGGGCAGCAAAGUCGCGAUCCAGACAGGAAGAUCCAGAACAAUUACGGUUGAAGCAGAAGGCAAAAGAGGUAAGCUAAAAGUUUUAGUCCCAGGCUCUUCGCUGCCCACUUGCAGCUCAUCGUCCCAGAUGCCUGGCAGAAAAGAGCAUGGCUGAGCACACCGUGGAGUUUCUGAACAUGGGCGUUGAUGUAGCUGUUUGAAAUUUGCAAGGUUCAAAUCAUGCCAAGUCAAAGAUGCAGCAGCAGGAACUGGCACAGAUGCGACAGCGGGAUGCCAACCUCACGGCACUGGCGGCGAUCGGGCCCAGGAAAAAGAGGAAAGUGGACUAUGCAGGGCCGGGAUCGGAGCAGAGGUACAGCAGCAGCGGGGG
rnacentral:lncRNA from 1 species